rnacentral:rRNA from 1 species
GACGAACGCUGGCGGCGUGCUUAACACAUGCAAGUCGAGCGAGAAAGCUCCUUCGGGAGCGAGUACAGCGGCGAACGGGUGAGUAACACGUGGGCAACCUGCCCAAGGGAGCGGGACAACCCGGGGAAACCCGGGCUAAUACCGCAUAACGCGUCAUGUCAUAAGGCGUGACGCCAAAAGGUAGCUUCGGCCUCCGCCCUUGGAUGGGCCCGCGGCGCACUAGCGUGUUGGUGGGGUAACGGCCUACCAAGGCGACGGUGCGUAGCUGGUCUGGAAGGACGAUCAGCCACACUGGGACUGAGACACGGCCCAGACUCCUACGGGAGGCAGCAGUGGGGAAUCUUGCGCAAUGGGCGAAAGCCUGACGCAGCAACGCCGCGUGGGGGAAGAAGGCUUUCGGGUUGUAAACCUCUUUCAGGAGGGACGAAGCUUCCGGGGUUAAUAGCUUACGGGGUGACGGUACCUCCAGAAGAAGCCCCGGCUAACUACGUGCCAGCAGCCGCGGUAAGAC